GGGGCGGCUUACCUGCAGUCGAACGAUGAAGCCCUUCGGGGUGGAUUAGUGGCGAACGGGUGAGUAACACGUGGGCAAUCUGCCCUUCACUCUGGGACAAGCCCUGGAAACGGGGUCUAAUACCGGAUAACACUCUGUCCCGCAUGGGACGGGGUUAAAAGCUCCGGCGGUGAAGGAUGAGCCCGCGGCCUAUCAGCUUGUUGGUGGGGUAAUGGCCUACCAAGGCGACAACGGGUAGCCGGCCUGAGAGGGCGACCGGCCACACUGGGACUGAGACACGGCCCAGACUCCUACGGGAGGCAGCAGUGGGGAAUAUUGCACAAUGGGCGAAAGCCUGAUGCAGCGACGCCGCGUGAGGGAUGACGGCCUUCGGGUUGUAAACCUCUUUCAGCAGGGAAGAAGCGAAAGUGACGGUACCUGCAGAAGAAGCGCCGGCUAACUACGUGCCAGCAGCCGCGGUAAUACGUAGGGCGCAAGCGUUGUCCGGAAUUAUUGGGCGUAAAGAGCUCGUAGGCGGCUUGUCACGUCGGAUGUGAAAGCCCGGGGCUUAACCCCGGGUCUGCAUUCGAUACGGGCUAGCUAGAGUGUGGUAGGGGAGAUCGGAAUUCCUGGUGUAGCGGUGAAAUGCGCAGAUAUCAGGAGGAACACCGGUGGCGAAGGCGGAUCUCUGGGCCAUUACUGACGCUGAGGAGCGAAAGCGUGGGGAGCGAACAGGAUUAGAUACCCUGGUAGUCCACGCCGUAAACGUUGGGAACUAGGUGUUGGCGACAUUCCACGUCGUCGGUGCCGCAGCUAACGCAUUAAGUUCCCCGCCUGGGGAGUACGGCCGCAAGGCUAAAACUCAAAGGAAUUGACGGGGGGCCCGCACAAGCAGCGGAGCAUGUGGCUUAAUUCGACGCAACGCGAAGAACCUUACCAAGGCUUGACAUAUACCGGAAAGCAUCAGAGAUGGUGCCCCCCUUGUGGUCGGUAUACAGGUGGUGCAUGGCUGUCGUCAGCUCGUGUCGUGAGAUGUUGGGUUAAGUCCCGCAACGAGCGCAACCCUUGUUCUGUGUUGCCAGCAUGCCCUUCGGGGUGAUGGGGACUCACAGGAGACUGCCGGGGUCAACUCGGAGGAAGGUGGGGAGGACGUCAAGUCAUCAUGCCCCUUAUGUCUUGGGCUGCACACGUGCUACAAUGGCCGGUACAAUGAGCUGCGAUGCCGCGAGGCGGAGCGAAUCUCAAAAAGCCGGUCUCAGUUCGGAUUGGGGUCUGCAACUCGACCCCAUGAAGUCGGAGUUGCUAGUAAUCGCAGAUCAGCAUUGAUGCGGUGAAUACGUUCCCGGGCCUUGUACACCCCGCCCGUCAUGUCACGAAAGUCGGUAACACCCGAAGCCGGUGGCCCAACCCCUUGGGGAGGGAGCUGUCGAAGCUG
rnacentral:rRNA from 1 species